GCGGCUGAGGCCCCGUGCGGGAAGGCGGCCCCGCGGGGACACGCGGGAACACGCGCGGUCCGCAGAGGGGCGCGCGUUUGCAGGUGGAGGCGGGUGGCCGAGGAACCCAGCGGGGCGGCGGGGAGCGGCUGGCCUCUUCCCUGCUGCGGCCCAGGGGGCCGGCGGAGAGUGGUGGUGGUGGCCCUCGUGGCAUUCGGGGUCCCCGUGGGGAAGGAGCUGAGCGUGGUUUCCUGCGUCGCGGGCUCCAGGACCGCCCCUCCCAGUGCCUCAUUCACCUCACACUGCGGUGCGUUUGUCCUGGGGAAGUUGAGCGGGCCGUGGAGUGGACGGUAUGUGUC
rnacentral:lncRNA from 1 species